rnacentral:rRNA from 1 species
GAUGAACGCUGGCGGCGUGCCUAAUACAUGCAAGUCGAGCGAACAGACCAUGAGCUUGCUCCUCUUACGUUACCUGCGGACGGGUGCGUAACACGUGGAUAACCUCACUAUAAGACUGGCAUAACGUCGGGAAACCGGAGCUAAUACCAAAUCAUAUAUUUAACCGCAUGAUUCAUUAGUGUAGGACGGUUUUUCUGUCGCUUAUAGAUGGAUCCGCGCCGCAUUAGCUAGUUGGUAAGGUAACGGCUUACCAAGGCAACGAUGCGUAGCCGACCUGAGAGGGGGAUCGGCCACACCAGAACUGAGACGCGGCCCAGACUACUACGGGAGGCAGCAGUAGGGAAUCGUCUGCAAUGGGCGGAAGCCUGACGGAGCAACGCCGAGUGAGUGAUGAAGGUCUUCGGAUCGUAAAACUCUGCUAUUAGGGAAGAACAAAUGUGUAAGUAACGAGGCACGUCUUGACGGUACCUAAUCAGAAAGCCACGGCUAACUACGUG